rnacentral:rRNA from 1 species
UGGGGAAAUUGCACAAUGGGCGCAAGCCUGAUGCAGCCAUGCCGCGUGUGUGAAGAAGGCCUUCGGGUUGUAAAGCACUUUCAGCGAGGAGGAAGGUGUGAACUUAAUACGUUCAUCAAUUGACGUUACUCGCAGAAGAAGCACCGGCUAACUCCGUGCCAGCAGCCGCGGUAAUACGGAGGGUGCAAGCGUUAAUCGGAAUUACUGGGCGUAAAGCGCACGCAGGCGGUUUGUUAAGUCAGAUGUGAAAUCCCCGGGCUCAACCUGGGAACUGCAUUUGAAACUGGCAAGCUAGAGUCUCGUAGAGGGGGGUAGAAUUCCAGGUGUAGCGGUGAAAUGCGUAGAGAUCUGGAGGAAUACCGGUGGCGAAGGCUGCCCCCUGGACGAAGACUGACGCUCAGGUGCGAAAGCGU